UCCGACACCUGCGGGGCUUUUCCUCCAACGGCUGUCCUGAGCCCGCCUCCACCGCUCAGGCUUGGUCUGCUGGUCCUCCCGGGCCCCUCAGCCUCUGCGCCCUCCUCCUCCAGACCCAACCCCCGCGGCUGCCCUCAAGCAUCGUCCCGCACUUUGGCGGGGCAUGGGGACCAGGAUGCAAAGCCCUUUCCUCCUCGCUCUGAGUCCUUAGCCCAAGCGCCGCGCUGAGUGUUGAGAAAGACUCUGAGCCUCAGUUUCCUCAGCUGUACAAUGGGGGUAUUUCCCUGAGUGUUGACUAGGUAUGAGGGGAUUGAGAAGUACGGAAAUACGAGAUCGGCUGGGCAUGUGAUCCUGAGGAAGGCCAAGGUCCAGCCAGGCGCCCCUGUUUACUGUAUUGUAAGAAUUCAGUACAUAAUACAUACAGAGACACGUGGAAUACAGAGCAGAACGGAACACAAAAUGAGUCGACUGUGCCAUUGACUCUGCAAAAACCCCUCCCUGUCCACCGGCCUCCCCUCUGCUCAUGCGGCAGCGGAUGCCUGAGAUCAUCUCUUCUCCACUGAGCUUGGCUUCGAGGCCACGGUCACGGGGAAGCCUUCUGGUCAGUUUUGGCCAAUGCGUUUGUGUUCCUACCUGCUUCAUCAACUCCCCCCCUCCCCAGGGACCAGACAGCAAGGUCUGCUGCUUGCUGUGGGUGCUGAUUACCUGGCCAACGUACAAAACAAGCUGAAAUUUUGUGAGUUAUGCACUUUUGUGUAUAUAAAUAUUCAGAAUAUACAACCCAAUUAGAAAUAAAAGAUUUAAGGGGCU